rnacentral:rRNA from 1 species
GACGAACGCUGGCGGCGUGCUUAACACAUGCAAGUCGAACGGAAAGGCCCUGCUUUUGUGGGGUGCUCGAGUGGCGAACGGGUGAGUAACACGUGAGUAACCUGCCCUUGACUUUGGGAUAACUUCAGGAAACUGGGGCUAAUACCGGAUAGGAGCUCCUGCUGCAUGGUGGGGGUUGGAAAGUUUCGGCGGUUGGGGAUGGACUCGCGGCUUAUCAGCUUGUUGGUGGGGUAGUGGCUUACCAAGGCUUGACGGGUAGCCGGCCUGAGAGGGUGACCGGCCACAUUGGGACUGAGAUACGGCCCAGACUCCUACGGGAGGCAGCAGUGGGGAAUAUUGCACAAUGGGCGGAAGCCUGAUGCAGCAACGCCGCGUGCGGGAUGACGGCCUUCGGGUUGUAAACCGCUUUCGCCUGUGACGAAGCGUGAGUGACGGUAAUGGGUAAAGAAGCACCGGCUAACUACGUG